rnacentral:lncRNA from 1 species
AAUUUUUUGGACCCGACGGAUCUGGAUCUCAGUUUUGAAAACGGAUUUGGAUUUGGAUCUGGAUCUUGAAAUUUUAGAUCCGGAUCCGGUCCAGAUCCAACCCGUGGAUCCGUUUUAUUUUAUAUAUAUUUUUUAUAUUUUAUAUUUAGUUUACUAAUAAUAUUAACUAAAUUAAAAAUAAUAAAUAAAUUAUAUUCAAAAGAAUAAAAACUAAAAAUAAUUAGAUAAAAGUAUUUUGUGUUAUAUUUUUCAUGAUGGAAAUUAGAUAUUGUUGAUUUUGUGAUUUUUUUUAAAUUUAAUUUAAAAAUUGUAGAUCCAUGGAUCUGGACCCGUGGACCCACGGAUCUGGAUCUGGAUCCAAAAUUUUCAGAUCCACGGAUCUGGAUCUGUUAUAUGAAAACGGAUCUGGAUCUGGUAUUGGCCAGACCCGGUCCAGAUCCGGCUCGUUGCCAUUCCUAAUCAUAGGGCAUAAUCCAAAUAAAAAUUUGUUAUUGUAAGAAUUAAGAAAACUCUAUCAUCAAAACAUAUGAGCAAAACUCAAAGUAUCAAAUCUCAUAAGAGAAUGGCCAAACAUGAUAAUUAGUACAAAAGGAAACACCAACAAAAAGAAGAAAAAAAUACUCAAAUUUUCACUACACAAAAUCAACAAGCAGAAUUGAAAUUAGUAAUCCAAAUAAAAAUUUGUUAUUGAUAGAAUUAAGAAAACUCUAUCAUCAAAACAUAUGAGCAAAACUCAAAGUAUCAAAUCUCAUAAGAGAAUGGCCAAACAUGAUAAUUAGUACAAAAGGAAACACCAACAAAAAGAAGAAAAAAAUACUCAAAUUUUCACUACACACAAUCAACAAGCAGAAUUGAAAUUCAUCUUCACCUUAAUUAAAGACGGCGGUAGCAGCUGCUGCUUCCUUAGAGAGAGAGACAGAGAAAUUCAGUGAGAGAGAGAGAGAGAGGAUUAAGGAGCAGAAUUGGAUGAGUGAUGCAAGCUCAAGAGUUUAUAGCCGAGUUUAUAGCAGAAUUGCAUUACCUCUUUAUAAUGCAAUUUAAUAUUUUCAAUUAAAAGACAAGAAAAUU